UACGUAGGGACCGAGCGUUAUCCGGAUUCAUUGGGCGUAAAGAGCUCGUAGGCGGCUAUUCAAGUCGAACGUGAAAUCUCGGAGCUCAACUCCGAGCCUGCGUUCGAUACUGGGUAGCUAGAGUCUGGUAGGGGGAUCUGGAAUUCCUGGUGUAGCGGUGGAAUGCGCAGAUAUCAGGAGGAACACCGGUGGCGAAGGCGGGAUCCUGGGCCAGUACUGACGCUGAGACGCGAAAGCGUGGGGAGCGAACAGG
rnacentral:rRNA from 1 species